GACAACCCCAGCAUCUUCUUCUUCUAACCUUAAUAUAUACACAACAUGAAACCCUAGACACACACACAAAAAAAAAAAAAUACCAAGACAGCCGCCACCUCCUCCCCUUUGAAUUUCACCUUCUAAAAACCCAUAGACCCCCCAUCGGAAAAUCCUUCACACCUAACAGCCGUGAACCUCACCACGUCUCAUUUCCCUGAAGCCAACACACACACAUAGAGAGCAAGAACAGAAAAAAGGGGAACAAAUAUGCUUUAACGACUUACGGCCAUAUUUUAUCAAUGAGGUAAUUAGAUAAUUGGUAAGUGGUUAUGUUGUAAACUGCAAAAGGAAUUUGGGACAUUAGAAUUGGUAUAAAUUAAAAUGGAAUGGUUGUUGCUCGAUAGAUUGACUUAAAGCCUUACGUUUGUUCUCAAUAUGAGCAUACAGAAUGCUGCCAGAUAACAAAGCCGUGCAUUUGGGGUGCUGAAAAAGUCUUUCCAUUGCUCUUGUGGAUUUGCGUACUCUUGGAAAAUUUCACCUAAUUAUAAAAAAGGGUAGGAAAAAUCGGAUAGAGAAUUUUGAGUUCGAGUUUGUCGUGUUCCGGUGUCAAUUCGAGGUUCCGUUUCGAAAUUUCAGCAUUUCGGUCCAAGGAUUGUUGUUUCUUUAGCCCGAUUGAUUUGCAAUUUUUAGCUUGGUUCAUCAAUAAAAGUUUCAAUUCGGGUUCAAGGAGUACAUUUGGCUUAGACUCAAUUACUCCGAAGAGAUCAUUGCUCUCGUUGAGGUUCAACUCUUCAACCCUUACUCACUAUAUCUUAGCUGAAUGUUAAUUGCUUGUUUGGUGAUUUGAUUACUAUGAUUUCUUUAGCUAUUAUCUCCGAUUCUGAGUUUAUUCAUUUAGUUUACCUGCUCGUAUAUUACUCGAUGAACAUGAUUUUAUCACAAUAUAGAAAUUGGGUUGUGCGGUAAAAUUAAAAGAAAAUUUAGGUUCAAAAUAAUAGUGUUGUUCUUUUAUUCUUGUUUUAGCUAAUUUAAUCGUUAGGAGCAUGAUAGGCGGUCAUCACCCGGGUAGGCAAACUUUUAGAUUUUGUCAGUCUUGAGGCGAGAGGCAUUCCCUUAGUUAAAUUUAUCCGCGGAAUGC
rnacentral:lncRNA from 1 species